rnacentral:rRNA from 1 species
UACGAGGGGGGCAAGCGUUGUUCGGAUUUAUUGGGCGUAAAGAGCGUGUAGGCGGCCAGACAGGUCCGUUGUGAAAACUCGAGGCUCAACCUCGAGACGCCGAUGGAAACCGUUUGGCUAGAGUCCGGAAGAGGAGAGUGGAAUUCCUGGUGUAGCGGUGAAAUGCGCAGAUAUCAGGAAGAACACCCGUGGCUAAGGCGGCUCUCUAGUACGGUACUGACGCUGAGACGCGAAAGCGUGGGGAGCGAACAGG